AGUAAAUACAUCGGAACGUACCCAGUAGUGGGGGAUAGCUCGGCGAAAGCCGGAUUAAUACCGCAUACGACCUAUGGGUGAAAGCGGGGGAUCGCAAGACCUCGCGCUAUUGGAGCGGCCGAUGUCGGAUUAGCUAGUUGGUGAGGUAAAGGCUCACCAAGGCUACGAUCCGUAGCUGGUCUGAGAGGACGACCAGCCACACUGGGACUGAGACACGGCCCAG
rnacentral:rRNA from 1 species